GAUGAACGCUGGCGGUAUGCUUAACACAUGCAAGUCGAACGGACUCUUCGGAGUUAGUGGCGGACGGGUGGGUAACGCGUGGUAAUCUGGCUUUGGGUUCGGGACCAUCAAUGGAAACGGUGCCUAAUAACGGAUGUGCCGAGAGGUAAUAGAGAAAUUGCCUGCAGAUGAGCUCGCGUCUAAUUAGCUAGUUGGGGAGAGAAGGGCCCACCAAGGCAGCGAUCAGUAGCGGGUCUGAGUGGCUGACCAGCCACACGGGGUCAGAGACACAGCCGAGACUCCUGGGGGACAGAGGUGUGGAGAAUUGUCCGCAAGGGGCGAGAGCCUGACGGAGCAAUACCGCGUGAGAGAAGAAGGCUCUUGGGGUGAAAACCUUUUGUCUUAGACAAGAACAGAAUGACGGUAACUGAUGAAGAAGCAUCGGCUAACUACGUG
rnacentral:rRNA from 1 species